rnacentral:rRNA from 1 species
AAUACAUGCAAGUCGAACGCUUCUUUCCUCCCGAGUGCUUGCACUCAAUUGGAAAGAGGAGUGGCGGACGGGUGAGUAACACGUGGGUAACCUACCCAUCAGAGGGGGAUAACACUUGGAAACAGGUGCUAAUACCGCAUAACAGUUUAUGCCGCAUGGCAUAAGAGUGAAAGGCGCUUUCGGGUGUCGCUGAUGGAUGGACCCGCGGUGCAUUAGCUAGUUGGUGAGGUAACGGCUCACCAAGGCCACGAUGCAUAGCCGACCUGAGAGGGUGAUCGGCCACACUGGGACUGAGACACG